AUUGUUAGGACGGUGAGAUCGCCCCGUGCCCCUCCUCCUUCAGCGGACUGGGCAACUAAGGCGUGUACACAGAAAGCAACUUGCUCCCGAGUCGUGGCUGACACCCAAGCGUAGAUCUUCUGACGUUCAAGCAGAGCUCUUCCUCCUUUACCACCUUCGUGAAACAAGAUAAAAGAAUCUCGAAGCACAGUUAGAUGGUAACCACCCACAGGAGAGCAGGGCAGCGUCCGGGAAAGCAUCCUGCGGGUUCUAGCUCCCGAGGCCGACCCUACACAGUGACCACGCACAUGGUGACCCCUGGAGUUGACUUUGGUAGAGUCAGGAAAAAGAAGUCCAUUCUCUCCUGCCACGAUUCUUGAAAUUCACCAGUGUCGGAGAGGAAGGAUGACUGCAAGGAGCAAGCCCUUGAGGAGCGUAGAGUCUUAAAUUUGAUUGGAGAUUAACCGCUGAAGUCCCGUGGGGAAGCAGGGCAGGAAACAAAGUUUGGAAGCCGGCACAGACCCAGAGAACCCGGGGCACUGGCCCAACAAAGUCCCAGAGGCAGUGACAGAGUCAGCCCGGAAACCUCAGUGCUCUGCCUAUGUCCCCACGUUCAACAGCGACGCCAUGGCUUGGGGAAUUCAGGGAAGGUCCGUGAAAUGAGAAGGAAAGCAAAAGCUUCAAGGAAGAGACUGCCUCGGAGGGCUGGAAGGCUCUCACUGCAGAGGAGGGGCGGGGACAGCAGCACAGAGCAAAGCCACGCACCGGCGCGUCCAAAAUGCCACCCCUCUCCUUCGGCCUCAGGGCCCUUGCUCAGUUAGUAGAGGGAUGGGCAAAGUGUUGGGUCUUUGUUUUUGUUUUUCUGAAAUCUAAAUUCAAAGCUACUGCAAUGAUUAUCUUCCAUUUUAUUUACUCUUUUCCCACAAAUUAUUUUUAAAAUUCUUCCACAUCAUAUGAAUACAUGAAGCAGCUGGGUUUUGUUUGGAUGGCCAACUUCCACAUAGAUCUAAAGUAUGACGGUGUGUAAUCUACAUGUUAAUGACAUGAGCACACUGGAAAUGAGAUGUCACUGAAGUCUGGCCUCUUACCGGGUUCUCUCGGGGCCGAAAUACAUUUUUUCAAGAUGUUUCAAAUUCAUGCUUUAGCUGUUGUCAAUAGGCAGGUUUCUCUAGAGCCCAUGUCUGCUCAAUCAUAGCCUUUAUUUUUUUCUGCUGAUCUUUGGGAUGAUUUAAGUCCUCGUGUUACUGUUUAUGAUAUGGCAUGAUUGGAGAAUAAUGUUUUAUAAAUAUCAGUGUUUAAAGUGUCUACUUCAUACAUCUGCUUGAAAUUUUAUUUUAUUAAUUCAAUCAGGGCUGGGGUUCAGGCUCAGUAAGAUAGGCGGCUAGGGUGCAAUGUUUAAGGAGGCCCCCAAUCUCAGGACUGUGCAAAUGUCAACCGUGCACUUGCCCAAGCCUAAGAGUGAGUGCCUCCUUAAAUAUUGGGCCCUAGGUGCCUACUUUGCCUCGCCCUAGUCCUGGUCCUGAAGUCAACGUAUGUUUAUUGAACGCCUGUUAUGUGCCACACAGUGGUAAUGAAUGAGACAGCCAAGGCCCCUUCCAGUUUACAUUCCUCAGAGUAGUUUUAACUUUGUUGAAUUUGAACUACAGCUGAUUUUCCAGACAUUGCCACUGGCUUGUUCUAAGGUCAUUCCAAUCUCCUUUGUCUGCUCCAUUCUGCUUUCAGCUGGGUGGCCACAUGAAUGAGUUCUGGCCAGAGACUCCGCUGAAAGUACUGAGGGCUCUGGGAGAACUCUUCCAUCUCAUUUGCCUCUUCCUGCUUUAA
ensembl:lncRNA